AUGAUGAAAAUCAUGCCCGAGAGCUAGAUGCUCGAUCCUAGGGUAGCUGA
rnacentral:snoRNA from 1 species